AACGACCCCUCCACCACACGCGUACACGCAUUCUGCCUUCACAAAUUUCCCCAAAUUCACCAUCGUCGAUCUUGAGAACCACCGGAGUAUUGGGAGAUUGGGCUGCGCGUGGGCGCCGUGGCUGCCGGAGUAAUGGGAGGCGGGGCUGCGCGCGGCCGCCGUGGCCGUCGGAGCAGUGGGAGGUGGGGCUGCGCGCGGCCGCCGUGGCCGUCGGAGUAGUGGGAGGUGGGGCUGCGCGCGGCCGCCGUGGCUGCCAGAGUAGUGUGAGGCGGGGCUGCGCACGGCUGCCCUGACCGCCGGACUAGUGGGAGACGGGGCUGCACUGCAUGUCUGCAUCUACUUCAGCAAGGUCAAGGACGUCGGCAGCGGCGACGACGAGCGCACUGAUGAUGUGGUUGUUACAGAGGCAGAUGUCCGCUCGGGGCAUUGCAGACAAGCGUUGCCUGCUCAGGAAGCAGCGGGUGGGAUUUUGACAAUGUCCAGGGCAUGGAUGAAGCCAAGGAGGAGCUUGUUGAGGUGCCAUACAAAAACGAUACUAGAUUCUCACAGAUCUGGGAAAAAUGAGGGAGAGCACUGGGACGAAGAAGGUGCAAUCAGAUUUGUAUAAACAAGAUUUGCAGGGUCCUUCUAGUUGUGGGGGAGGAAAGGAUACGCAGUUUGCAUGGGGAGAAGAUGGGCGUAGGGUAGGGUGAGGACAGAGAGAGGUUGAUCAAGCACGUGAUUGGGGGGCUGGAGGAAAGCGUGCGAGCUGCGGCUUGAUGCGCCUCUCUGGCGCAGGCUCAAGGGUUGGGGCGUGUGGGGACUGAUUCUUUUCCUUUUCUGUCCCGCCAGCUGUUUAGAGUUUUUCAAUUUCUUUUUUGGGUGUGUGCUCUAGAUUACUAACCAGCCAACAGGUGCUCCCUAGUCACGUCCUAUAAAAAAUGAUUUUAUUUGUUUUUCCA